CAUGACUCUUCUCAUCAUUGUCAUCAUCUCUGUGCUGGCGCUCACGAUCACCUGUAUUCGGAGGAAGUGCAAACCCAACGGUUCCACUGGAGGAAACUCAGAUGGCAUGAACUUGGAGAUUCCUCAGGCUGCCCCUGAUUUCUCCUACGAGAACUGUCCUCCAGUCUUCACCUUGGAAAACACCUACCAGAGCAUCGAUCCAGC